UACAGAGGUGGCAAGCGUUGUUCGGAAUUACUGGGCGUAGAGGGCGCGUAGGCGGCCAUCUAAGUCAGACGUGAAAUCCCCCGGCUUAACCUGGGAACUGCGUCUGAUACUGGACGGCUUGAGUAUGGGAGAGGGAUGUAGAAUUCCAGGUGUAGCGGUGAAAUGCGUAGAUAUCUGGAGGAAUACCGGUGGCGAAGGCGGCAUCCUGGACCAUUACUGACGCUGAGGCGCGAAAGCUAGGGGAGCAAACGGG
rnacentral:rRNA from 1 species